rnacentral:tRNA from 2 species
GCCCCCAUCGUCUAGUGGCCCAGGACGUCGCCCUUUCAAGGCGGUAGCACGGGUUCGAAUCCCGUUGGGGGCACCA